AUGCUAGCUCCACUGGUUACUGCUCGCAUGUUGUUGGGCUGAUCCACACCCUGGACCUCUGGAGAGCCCAAGAUGAAAUGUCCACCACAAGCUUGCCACAACAGUGGCAUAAGCCAAGAGGCAAGAAGAUUGAUGCCAAGCCUAUUACAGCGGUCGUGGUGGAAAAGGAAAAUGUGAGUUGGAAGAGAAGACCAGUCUAGUGCAGUUACAACUUUGACAGCUCCCACUAUUGGAGAACACAGAGCCACCACCAUCCUCCUCGAACCCAACUGUGAUAUGAUGAUCUCCCAGUCUGAAGCAGAGGCACUGGAAAAAGAGAAGACAGUAGAGCGACAACAACACCUGGCAUGGCGUCUGCAAUUCUGUGCUUCCAACUUUGUAGCA